rnacentral:misc_RNA from 1 species
GAUGAAGAACGUAGCGAAAUGCGAUAAGUAAUGUGAAUUGCAGAAUUCAGUGAAUCAUCGAAUCUUUGAACGCACAUUGCGCCCGGUAGUAUUCUGCCGGGCAUGCCUGUUCGAGCGUCAUUUCAACCAUCAAGCCCCAGCGCUUGUGUUCGGGGCCUGCGGCUGCCGCAGCCCCCUAAAAGCAGUGGCGGGCUCGCUAUCACACCGAGUGCAGUAGUUCAUCUUCUCUCCGGUCUUGUGAGGCGGGUUCCGGCCGUGAAACGCCCCACUACAUUCAAGGUUGACCUCGGAUCAGGUAGGAAUACCCGCUGAACUUAAGCAUAUCAAUAAGCGGAGGA